rnacentral:rRNA from 1 species
GCUGGCUGCGUGCUUAACACAUGCAAGUCGAACGCUGAAGCCUGGUGCUUGCACCGGGUGGAUGAGUGGCGAACGGGUGAGUAACACGUGAGUAACCUGCCCCUGACUUCGGGAUAAGCCCGGGAAACUGGGUCUAAUACCGGAUACGACUGCCGGACGCAUGUCUGGUGGUGGAAAGUUUUUUCGGUUGGGGAUGGGCUCGCGGCCUAUCAGUUUGUUGGUGAGGUAAUGGCUCACCAAGACGACGACGGGUAGCCGGCCUGAGAGGGCGACCGGCCACACUGGGACUGAGACACGGCCCAGACUCCUACGGGAGGCAGCAGUGGGGAAUAUUGCACAAUGGGGGAAACCCUGAUGCAGCGACGCAGCGUGCGGGAUGACGGCCUUCGGGUUGUAAACCGCUUUCAGCAGGGAAGAAGCGCAAGUGACGGUACCUGCAGAAGAAGUACCGGCUAACUACGUGCCAGCAGCCGCGGUAAUACGUAGGGUACGAGCGUUGUCCGGAAUUAUUGGGCGUAAAGAGCUCGUAGGUGGUUGGUCACGUCUGCUGUGGAAACGCAACGCUUAACGUUGCGCGUGCAGUGGGUACGGGCUGACUAGAGUGCAGUAGGGGAGUCUGGAAUUCCUGGUGUAGCGGUGAAAUGCGCAGAUAUCAGGAGGAACACCGGUGGCGAAGGCGGGACUCUGGGCUGUAACUGACACUGAGGAGCGAAAGCAUGGGGAGC